UACGUAGGGUGCAAGCGUUGUCCGGAAUUAUUGGGCGUAAAGGGCUCGUAGGCGGUCCAUCGCGUCGGGAGUGAAAAGCUGGGGCUCAACCCCAGUCCUGCUUUCGAUACGGGUGGACUAGAGGUAUGCAGGGGAGAACGGAAUUCCUGGUGUAGCGGUGAAAUGCGCAGAUAUCAGGAGGAACACCGGUGGCGAAGGCGGGUCUCUGGGCCAUUACUGACGCUGAGGAGCGAAAGCGUGGGGAGCGAACAGG
rnacentral:rRNA from 1 species